rnacentral:rRNA from 1 species
ACGCUCGACACCUACAGGAGGCAGCAGUGGGGAAUAUUGCACAAUGGGGGAAACCCUGAUGCAGCGACGCCGCGUGAGCGAAGAAGUAUCUCGGUAUGUAAAGCUCUAUCAGCAGGGAAGAAGAUGGCGGUACCUGACUAAGAAGCACCGGCUAAAUACGUGCUAGCAGCCGCGGUAAUCUGAGCGGGCUGGCAAGGC